rnacentral:rRNA from 1 species
AGGAAUAUUGGUCAAUGGGCGAGAGCCUGAACCAGCCAAGUAGCGUGAAGGAUGACUGCCCUAUGGGUUGUAAACUUCUUUUAUAAAGGAAUAAAGUCGGGUAUGGAUACCCGUUUGCAUGUACUUUAUGAAUAAGGAUCGGCUAACUCCGUGCCAGCAGCCGCGGUAAUACGGAGGAUCCGAGCGUUAUCCGGAUUUAUUGGGUUUAAAGGGAGCGUAGAUGGAUGUUUAAGUCAGUUGUGAAAGUUUGCGGCUCAACCGUAAAAUUGCAGUUGAUACUGGAUAUCUUGAGUGCAGUUGAGGCAGGCGGAAUUCGUGGUGUAGCGGUGAAAUGCUUAGAUAUCACGAAGAACUCCGAUUGCGAAGGCAGCCUGCUAAGCUGCAACUGACAUUGAGGCUCGAAAGUGUGGGUAUCAAACAGGAUUAGAUACCCUGGUAGUCCACACGGUAAACGAUGAAUACUCGCUGUUUGCGAUAUACUGCAAGCGGCCAAGCGAAAGCGUUAAGUAUUCCACCUGGGGAGUACGCCGGCAACGGUGAAACUCAAAGGAAUUGACGGGGGCCCGCACAAGCGGAGGAACAUGUGGUUUAAUUCGAUGAUACGCGAGGAACCUUACCCGGGCUUAAAUUGCAGAUGAAUUACGGUGAAAGCCGUAAGCCGCAAGGCAUCUGUGAAGGUGCUGCAUAGUUGUCGUCAGCUCGUGCCGUGAGGUGUCGGCUUAAGUGCCAUAACGAGCGCAACCCUUGUUGUCAGUUACUAACAGGUUCCGCUGAGGACUCUGACAAGACUGCCAUCGUAAGAUGUGAGGAAGGUGGGGAUGACGUCAAAUCAGCACGGCCCUUACGUCCGGGGCUACACACGUGUUACAAUGGGGGGUACAGAGGGCCGCUACCACGCGAGUGGAUGCCAAUCCCCAAAACCUCUCUCAGUUCGGACUGGAGUCUGCAACCCGACUCCACGAAGCUGGAUUCGCUAGUAAUCGCGCAUCAGCCACGGCGCGGUGAAUACGUUCCCG